rnacentral:rRNA from 1 species
ACGCUCGACACCUACGGGGGGCAGCAGUGGGGAAUAUUGCACAAUGGGGGAAACCCUGAUGCAGCGACGCCGCGUGAGUGAAGAAGUAUUUCGGUAUGUAAAGCUCUAUCAGCAGGGAAGAAAAUGACGGUACCUGACUAAGAAGCCCCGGCUAACUACGUGCCAGCAGCCGCAGUAAUCUGAGGCGGGCUGGCAAGGC